GGAGUUAUAAGCAGCGGCAAGCAGAGAGCUCUCCACCUGUUAUCUCUGCGAGACAGCGAAGCAAUAGAAAACUGUAAGCACUUCAGAAAAGGACCCUUCUCCUGUAUCAAUUUGCUUUUUCAGACCCAACAUGAUCAGUUUAAAGUCAUUUUACAGGGAUUUGACCUGCAUUCAAAAUGAAGAUUUUAAAACAUUUAAAAAAAAA